rnacentral:rRNA from 1 species
CGGGGUGCAGCAGGCGCGAAAACUUUACAAUGCUGGCAACAGCGAUAAGGGGACCUCGAGUGCCAGGAUACAAUCUUGGCUGUCGCGAUGCCUAAAAAGCAUUGCAUAGCAAGGGCCGGGCAAGACCGGUGCCAGCCGCCGCGGUAACACCGGCGGCUCGAGUGGUAACCGCUAUUAUUGGGUCUAAAGGGUCUGUAGCCGGCCGGAUAAAUCUUUUGGGAAAUCCAGCUGCUCAACAGUUGGGCUUUCAGAAGAUACUGUUCGGCUCGAGACCGGGAGAGGUGAGAGGUACUUCAGGGGUAGGGGUGAAAUCUUGUAAUCCCUGAAGGACCACCAGUGGCGAAGGCGUCUCACCAGAACGGAUCUGACGGCAAGGGACGAAAGCUAGGGGCACGAACCGGAUUAGAUACCCGGGUAGUCCUAGCCGUAAACGAUACUCGCUAGGUGUCAGCCACGGUGCGACCGUGGUUGGUGCCGUAGGGAAGCCGUGAAGCGAGCCACCUGGGAAGUACGGCCGCAAGGCUGAAACUUAAAGGAAUUGGCGGGGGAGCA